rnacentral:rRNA from 1 species
AGCGAACGUUUGCGGCGGGCCUAACACAUGCAAGUCGAACGGGUUGGCAACAACCAGUGGCGCACGGGUGCGUAACACGUAGGUAAUCUACCCUCAAGUUCGGGAUAACGAUCUGAAAGGAUCGCUAAUACCGGAUGUGUUCCGAAAGGAAGAAAGACCCGCAAGGGUCGCUAGAGGACGAGCCUGCGGCCCAUCAGCUAGUUGGUGAGGUAAUGGCUCACCAAGGCUAAGACGGGUAGCUGGUCUGAGAGGAUGAUCAGUCACACUGGAACUGAGACACGGUCCAGACUCCUACGGAGGCAGCAGUGGGGAAUAUUGCGCAAUGGCGAAAGCCUGACGCAGCCACGCCGCGUGAGCGAUGAAGGCCUC